rnacentral:misc_RNA from 1 species
AAAGUCGUAACAAGGUUUCCGUAGGUGAACCUGCGGAAGGAUCAUUACAGUGCCUUUGGAGAGCGUGCACCCCCUAAAGGUGUCCGCUCCCGAACGCCCACCCAUGUUUACUUGACCAUUGUUGCCUUGGUGGGCCCGCUGCCUAGGCGGCCGCCGGGGGACGCUUAACGGCAACCCCGGGCCCGCGCCCACCACAGGACCCUUUGAACCCUAUUAUGAAAAUGACUGUCUGAGUGAUUAUUUUAAUUAAAUAAAACUUUCAACAACGGAUCUCUUGGUUCCG